rnacentral:rRNA from 1 species
ACGGAAGGCAGCAGUGGGGAAUAUUGCACAAUGGGGGAAACCCUGAUGCAGCGACGCCGCGUGAGCGAUGAAGUAUUUCGGUAUGUAAAGCUCUAUCAGCAAGGAAGAUAAUGACGGUACUUGACUAAGAAGCCCCGGCUAACUACGUGCCAGCAGCCGCGGUAAUACGUAGGGGGCAAGCGUUAUCCGGAUUUACUGGGUGUAAAGGGAGCGUAGACGGUCGGGCAAGUCUGAUGUGAAAGCCCGGGGCUCAACCCCGGAACUGCAUUGGAAACUGUUUGACUAGAGUGCAGGAGAGGUAAGUGGAAUUCCUAGUGUAGCGGUGAAAUGCGUAGAUAUUAGGAAGAACACCAGUGGCGAAGGCGGCUUACUGGACUGUAACUGACGUUGAGGCUCGAAAGCGUGGGGAGCAAACAGGAUUAGAUACCCUGGUA